ACUGAUGUUACAAUAGUCCUGCCUUAUCCACGGGGGACACAUUCCAAGAUCCCAGGGGAUGCCCGAAAUGGUGAAUUGUACCGAACCCUAUAUAUAUUAUAUUCUUCCUAUAUAUACAGACACACACAUGAUAAAGUUUAAUUUCUAAACUAGGCACAGUAAGAAAUUAACAACAUUAACUCAUAAUAAAAGUGAUCAAUUAGAACAAUAUUGUAACAAGAGUUCUGUGAAUGUGGUCUCUCUCUCUUAAAAUAUCUUACUGGACUCUACUCACCCUUCCUCCCGUGAUGAUGUGAAAUGAUAAAAUUCCUUCACGAUGAGAUGAAGUGAGGUGACUGACAGAGGCAUUGUGACACAGCGUUAGGCUACUACUGACCUUCUGACCAUACGUCACAAGGAGGAUCAUCUGCUUCUGGAUUGUUGUUGACUGCGGCUAAGUGAGACCCACGAUAAGGGAGGACUACUGUAUCACCUCUUUUUUACAACUGAGCCUAAAUGGAGGUUCAGAGAGGUUAAGUAACUGACCCGAGGUCUCAAGAUAGGUUCAUAAAUAGCAAGGAUAGAAUUUAACACCAGGUCCACCUGACCCCAACUUUUUCUGCUCCUUCCUUGUCACCACUCCUGAGAGUAGAGUGAAUUGCUAAUUUAGGUGCUGCCUGGAAUGUCUGAUAUUUAAGCGGAAAACUCUGAAGGUGCCGGCACCCAUGAAUACUGACAAUAUGACGUCCCAACGUACAAACAAUGUCAUCCUAGGACCGUUGUGGGUGGCAACUGAGACAACUCUGGCACUCACCUGGGCCUGAGCUCCAAGCUGAACCCUCCCCCACUUGGCACCGGAAUGCAUUUGUCUUACUAUCUUUCCUUUUGACUUCUUCCUUUGUUCUGUUUACCUGUUUACUACAAUUCUCAUGUUAUCUGGGUGUAUUGUAACUAUAAUUCCUGUUGACUUUUUUUGUGCCUUUAAUAGAGUAAAAUAAAAAAUAUAUAGUGUAAUACA
rnacentral:lncRNA from 1 species